GACGUAGGGGGCCAGCGUUGCUCGGAAUUACUGGGCGUAAAGGGUCCGUAGGCGGUGCGGUAAGUCGGGAGUGAAAUCUCUGGGCUUAACUCAGAGGCUGCUUCCGAAACUACCGUGCUAGAGUGCGAGAGAGGCAAGUGGAAUUGCGGGUGUAGCGGUGAAAUGCGUAGAUAUCGGGAGGAACACCGGUGGCGAAGGCGGUUCUCUGGGCCUUACCUGACGCUGAGGAGCGAAAGCGUGGGGAGCGAACAGG
rnacentral:rRNA from 1 species